CUGGCCGUCCAGGGUAUAAGUACCCCAUGAUGUACUCUGUGAUGAUGUUCAAGCCUGGAGUCUGCAUACAGCAAAAGAAGCUGAAGUGUCUGAACUUGCGCUCUUCAGCUAAUAUGCACAUGGUGUUAAAAACCGGUACCUGGUUCGUUGUUGCUGUGAUUAUUCCAAUUGGGAGGGUGAAGGUAAACGCAAUGGCACAUGCAAGCAGAACACCCCACCAAGGCAGCUGGAGUUGCUCAAUAUAGUAUUCACAGGCAAAUAUGGUGACAGCAAUGUUAGCAAUGAGGAUGCAGAUGAACCACCACUCCGGGACCUGCUUAUAUCUCCUCAUAAGUUUUGUAUAAUGAGGAAGUCCAGAAGAAGUUGCUCACCUUCCAUGGAAGAGGAAAACAUGAACAAUUGUCGCGGUAAGGGAUGCGAAACCGACACCAUAGGUGACAGCAAAGAAAGUGCUGAGGUAUAGCGGACCAUUCUUCUCGUACGCCUCCGUAUCAAAUUGGAAGUGAGAGUCCACGAUGCUCGAGAUGUUGUACGUCUGCCCGGUCAAGGUGAAGAGGCCAUCGGAAAAGAUGGGGAAGUUUUGCGCCUUGUAGAAGUUGAACCAGUAAGCAAUGGGCGUGAUCACAUACAUGAUGAUGAAGAACCCAGCAGCGACAUUCGCGGUGGCAAACCAGGGGCUGGCAAGGGGGCUCCCAAGGUAGGAGGAGAUGGUGGACCAGUCGAGACCGAUCGCUCCAAUGCCUAGUCCGGUCAGGCCUGACCCGAGCUGCUGGGCGAGCACGGAGUGCGGGAAGACCCAGCAGAUCCAGGACAGGGAAGUGAGCAUCUGGAACAGGUAGCCCGGGAAGAUGUAGUAGGCGAAGCUGCAGAUGAAUGCCACCAGGAAGAACUGGUUGCGAGUCAUGCCGCCUUUGACCCGCCGUUCUCUCUCGUGGAGCGCCCUGGUGAGCAGAUACACAUUGCAAUGUUUGUGUGAGUCGUUGUCGUAGUAAAGUUAUUAGUGUCAAAACAUGAACAUGUACAUUUGUCUGAAUCUUUGAUUAAUCUCUCUGCAUUCUCAAACGAAUUUUCAUUUGGGUUAUGGUCUAAAUAAACAGUGACUUGUACUCGCCGUGCCUGUUUACCUCAUUGUCUAGACUGAUAAGGAAAUUUUUCUUUGCA